rnacentral:rRNA from 1 species
AAAACGACUCUCGGCAACGGAUAUCUCGGCUCUUGCAUUGAUGAAGAACGUAGCGAAAUGCGAUACUUGGUGUGAAUUGCAGAAUCCCGUGAACCAUCGAGUCUUUGAACGCAAGUUGCGCCCAAAGCCAUUAGGCCGAGGGCACGCCUGCCUGGGUGUCACAC